CAAUAUGCUAAUGGCGAUCAUUAUUGGAUAUUUGGUUUAUUAAUCUGCAUUCGUUUUUAUAGAUGGUACAAAUGUAGCUAUCAAAGCACCAUCCAUACAUGAAGGACUUUACGUUAAUCGAAAAGGAUAUCAUGCGCAACAUGUACAAAUUAUAUGCGAUGCGGAUAUGCAUAUCAUGAACAUAUAAGUGGCGAGGUAUCCUGGCUCCACUCACGAUUCCUUUGUAUGGAGGAACUGCUAUAUUAGGCAUUUUAUCCAAACGCAAUAUGCUAAUGGCGAUCAUUAUUGGAUAUUUGGUUUAUUAAUCUGCAUUACAUUAUUACCAAAAUUGGUCGCUUAAAAAUUAUUUCAUACAAAAUUGUACAAUGUUUCAAAACUAUGUGAUUCUGGGUAUCCGUUAGGUUUUUAACUCCAUAUCCCGAAGUGCAGCCUGGUACACGAGAG